rnacentral:lncRNA from 1 species
UGGGUUGUAGCUCUCUUGAGAACUUCUCAAUAAGCUGCCUUGAAUUUAUCAAAGGCAUAUCUGUAAAGGAUUGCCCAUUGUUAAAGGUCUCAAGGUACGAUAGUGAGAGAUUACAUGACAUGGAGAAAUACUGUAAGACAAACAUACAGGAGAUAAAGAUCAUUUCCCAUGGUUAUGACUCGCUGGACGCUAUGGAACAGAGUCAGAGGCUCCCCCUUGACAUUCGUUCGUGGAAUUUAAGAGAUGUAAAGCAUUUAGUCAUCAAUGCCUGCCCCAUCCUUAAAUUCAUUUCUUCAGAAGACCUACCAGCAUCACUAAAAUCUAUUCAGGUAGAUGCAUGUUGGAAUCUGAGAUCUCUUCAGCUAAGCAGCCAACAUGCUCUCAAAUAUUUAAGCAUAAAGAACUGCCAUCGACUCUCACAGGUUGAAUGCAUGUCAUCAAUGUUAUGCUUCCUUGAGAUCGACUCAUCUGACAAAUCACUCUUUUGUCAUCCGGGUAACUUGAGUAAUGUGGAAUACUUGAGUCUCAGAAACUGUGCAUUUGAGUUCUCAGAUGUACUACAACUACCAUCGGCAUUGAAAGUAAUGAAGAUUGACCAGUCGAUAUUGAAAUUACUUGAGAUUGUCAAAUGUUCCAACUCAUUUCCAAUUUAUUGGCUUGAAGGCUUGGAAGAACAAGAGAUUAUUGGAUGUUCUUGGCCUGCUGCAUUUACAAAUGUGAAAUAGCUGCCACCAAGAUUGAAGAAGCUUGAGAUUGUCGAAUGUUCUGACUUGACUUCUUUUUCACUUCACUUAUUUGAAAACUUAGAUGAAUUAAAAAUUAUUAAAUGCUAUGGGCCUACUGCCUUCACAAAUGUGAAGUGGUUGCCAUCAACAUUGAAAAAACUUGAGAUUGAUGGAUUUUCGGAUCACUCUUUCCCUACCUCAAGCAAAUCAGAUGUCUCAAAUAUGAGGAUAUACCUUCCACUAGACUCGUUAUAUGCCGUAGAAUCCCUGAAAAUUAAAGACAGCCCAUGGCUCUGCUUCCUAGAUGAGAAAAGUCUGCCAUCAACACUACAAGAGCUUUAUAUCAUUGGGUGUCCAGAACUAAAUGCAUGGUGCAAAAGGAACAGUCAAAGACUAAGAGAUAUCCGACUGUUAAACAUAGAAGAGGAACAGCAAAAUAAUGAAGACUACGACAAGGAUGAGGACUCCAACGAGGAAGAGACUUGGAUGAGGAAGAGAACGAGGACUAAGAGGAUGAAGGAGUGGAUGAUGAGGAUGAUGAUGUUGAUGAAGAGGACGGCUGGACCUUGAUCCCUAGUCCCAUGAUUGCUCGGGGAUUGGAGAUGAGGCUGAAGAGAUGGUAAGAUACUUCAGAUCUGUAGAGCAUUGGGCACCCAAAUCUUCUGCCCACGUAUGCACCCAGUCUCUAUCCCCUGAUUCAAUUUACGAGAUAAGAGACUGAGGACGAGGUCCGAUUGGAAUAUCUCCUCCUCACCAUUGCAGACCCAGGCAAUCAUCAUUGAUCUCCUGUUUACCUGCAGCAGCUGUCCAUUUCCUCAUGGCCGAAGUGAAAGAACAUCUAUUCCAAUGGUUUGGUUGGCUCUGAAACUGAAAGCCCAAUCUGUUUUCCUACUCUUACGCAUGACAAGAGUCAUCCAAGGAUUGCCUGUGCUUGCAAGGAAACUGACGCCCAUCCUUGUAUCUUUUCCCAAUGCGGUUAUCAUAAGUCAGCGCCAUUUGACUUCCUGGUUUGUGACAGCGAAGCUCAGCCCCACCGUCGACUGCUCCAUUCAACACAUAAAAUAUAACUUUGUAGGAUUCGAUUUGAGAGUUUAACGAAGUAUAUGAUGGAAAAUAUGAGCAGUAAACUCUAUAAAGAAAGUAUUGCAGUUAUAAAGACUCCAAAUUGUCGCACAUAAAAUCCAACAAUAGGAACAGACUAAUGCCUUUAAAAUUUCCUAUCAAUCUGGGGGAAGGAUUGAGCAAGUUUUCGUACGGUGAAUGAGUGCCAAUGGGAAAGACUCCUGGCAUCCACCCCGUCAUCAACAUCCUGAACCGAACCGAGCCUCAAAUCUUGAACGGUGUAGACUACAAGAUUCACAGAGACGGGGCACGUUACCUUCUCCACGAGGGUUGAGCACCGAUAUAGAGCCAACAGCGCAACUGGACGCGCCCUCCGUGGGCCGAAAGCGCGAAGCGAGUGGGGAAGGAAGAGGAGGAAGAAGGGUGGCAGUGUGCGACCUCAAAGAACACUUCCAUAUGGCUACAAGCACCGCAGGUGGAGGUUUCAAAGGGUGGUGGGGGAUCGAAUGUGCUCGAAAAUUCCUA